rnacentral:rRNA from 1 species
GACACGCUGGCGGCGUGGAUUAGGCAUGCAAGUCGAACGGUAUCAUCCUUCGGGGUGAGAGAGUGGCGAACUGGUGAGUAACACGUAGGUUAUCUACCCUCAAGACGGGGACAACCCAGGGAAACUUGGGCUAAUACCGGAUGUGAGCAACUUUUAGUUGUUUGAAAGGUGGCGUAAGCUGUCGCUUGGGGAUGAGCCUGCGUCCUAUUAGUUAGUUGGUGAGGUAACGGCUCACCUAGGCAAUGAUAGGUAGGCGGCCUUAACGGGUGGUCGCCCACACUGGGAUUGAGAUACGGCCCAGACUCCUACGGGAGGCAGCAGUCGAGAAUAGUCUACAAUGGUCGGAAGACUGAUAGUGCGACGCCGCGUGAACGAUGAAUCCCUUCGGGGUGUAAAGUUCUUUUAUAUGUGAGCAGUGCUUCUUAUAUUAACAGUAUGGGGAGAGAGAUAUUAGCAUAUGAAUAAGCAACGGCUAACUCCGUG